GGAGAAAGCUUGCUUUCUUGCUGACGAGUGGCGGACGGGUGAGUAAUGCUUGGGAAUCUGGCUUAUGGAGGGGGAUAACGACGGGAAACUGUCGCUAAUACCGCGUAGUGUCGAGAGACGAAAGUGCGGGACUGAGAGGCCGCAUGCCAUAGGAUGAGCCCAAGUGGGAUUAGGUAGUUGGUGGGGUAAAGGCCUACCAAGCCUGCGAUCUCUAGCUGGUCUGAGAGGAUGACCAGCCACACUGGAACUGAGACACGGUCCAGACUCCUACGGGAGGCAGCAGUGGGGAAUAUUGCGCAAUGGGGGGAACCCUGACGCAGCCAUGCCGCGUGAAUGAAGAAGGCCUUCGGGUUGUAAAGUUCUUUCGGUAUUGAGGAAGGUUGAUGUGUUAAUAGCACAUCAAAUUGACGUUAAAUACAGAAGAAGCACCGGCUAACUCCGUGCCAGCAGCCGCGGUAAUACGGAGGGUGCGAGCGUUAAUCGGAAUAACUGGGCGUAAAGGGCACGCAGGCGGUUAUUUAAGUGAGGUGUGAAAGCCCCGGGCUUAACCUGGGAAUUGCAUUUCAGACUGGGUUACUAGAGUACUUUAGGGAGGGGUAGAAUUCCACGUGUAGCGGUGAAAUGCGUAGAGAUGUGGAGGAAUACCGAAGGCGAAGGCAGCCCCUUGGGAAUGUACUGACGCUCAUGUGCGAAAGCGUGGGGAGCAAACAGGAUUAGAUACCCUGGUAGUCCACGCUGUAAACGCUGUCGAUUUGGGGGUUGGGGUUUAAC
rnacentral:rRNA from 1 species